AUAGCCCACCAAGCUCCUCUGUCCAUGGAAUUCUCCAGGCAGAUUCUUUACCAUCUGAGUCACCAGAGAAGCUCUUCUUCCAGAAAACAGGAGAGCAAACUCCCCACGUGAAAGAUGCCCUCCCUAUAUCAGGAGAAAAGAAAAUUCUUCAAUGGGGAGUCAAAGCCAAGAGAAUUCUGUACAAACAGACUUUGUUAAAAUAAUUUAUAUCUUCCUCUAGGCUCCCCGUAUAUUUUAGUCACUUCUCCACA
ensembl:lncRNA